GUCCAGGAUUCUGCAUACUUCAUACGGC
rnacentral:piRNA from 1 species